rnacentral:SRP_RNA from 1 species
UGCCGGUCCCCUCGCAACACGAAAUUGUGAAUCCCGCCAGGUCCGGAAGGAAGCAACGGCAGCAGUGGAUGUGUGUGCCGGGGUAGGGACGGUAUGG